rnacentral:ribozyme from 12 species
UUUUCAUUUUAUACACGUUCUAAUUUUUAGUUGUUAACAUGAUAAUUAAAAAAAUUGGUAAAACACUUUGUUACUUGGUUCGUUUUCUGCAUUACUACAAU